rnacentral:rRNA from 1 species
AUGAACGCUGGCGGCAUGCCUAAUACAUGCAAGUCGAACGAAGAAAUGUUGCUUGAAGGUGCUUGCACCGGAUAGUUGCUUUCUUAGUGGCGAACGGGUGAGUAACACGUAGGUAACCUGCCUAGUAGUUGGGAAUAACAAUGGGAAACCGUUGCUAAUACCGAAUAUGAAUUCGAAGGGCAUCCUUUGAAUUUGAAAGGGGCUUUCAAGCCUCGCUAUUAGAUGGACCUGCGGCGCAUUAGCUAGUUGGUGAGAUAACAGCUCACCAAGGCGAGGAUGCGUAGCCGACCUGAGAGGGUGAUCGGCCACAAUGGGACUGAGACACGGCCCAUACUCCUACGGGAGGCAGCAGUAGGGAGUUUUCGGCAAUGGGGGAACCCUGACCGAGCAAUGCCGCGUGAGUUAAUGAAGGUCUUAUGGAUCGUAAGGCUCUGUUGUAGGGGAUGAAACGUCUAGGGAGGAAAUGUCCUAGACUUGACAGUACCUUACCAGAAAGCCACGGCUAACCACGUGCCAGCCGCUGC